GGAAGGAUCAUUAACAAAUCAUUUGUGAGCCCCCCAAGAGGAGGUAAAAUCCCUCUUGUGUGGCAAACACAUAUUAACCCGAACCUGUGCAGUCCUCUGCCAGGCUAGGUGUGGGGGUUGUGGUAAAACGCACUCCUGCGGUGACGGAUUAGGUUUAGGCCUGAUCUCGAUCCACAUAGACGCUUUUUUUGUUUGACAGUUUUAGUUGACACUAUAAAAAAUGACAACUUUUAACAAUGGAUCUCUUGGCUCUUGCAACGAUGAAGAACGCAGUGAAAUGCGAAAAGUAAUGCGAUUUGCAUGAAUCUGUGAGUCAUCAAGUCUUUGAACGCACCUUGCACCGUAUGAGCAAUUGUACGGUAUACCUGUUUGAGAAUCGUAAAAUCAUAUCUUGCACAUACAACUUUGUUGUAUGUAUGAGGACUUGUCGACCCUAAUAAGGUUGAUUAAAUUUAAUAGGUUUGGAUCAGGCUGGUGGCCUGAGACACUAUGUGCUAGAGACAUUCUUUUUGUCUUCUCAUGGUGCGUCUCGGGUCAUUCCAAAGCUAGCCUGUGGUCGAGCCUUUAAUUGCGUCAAGUAACCAACCUUGAGCAACCUUUCUCUCUUUGAUCUCAAAUCAGGUAAGGCUACCCGCUGAACUUAAGCAUAUCAGUAAGCGGAGGAAAAGAAACUAACAAGGAUUCCCCUAGUAACGGCGAGCGAAGCGGGAAGAGUUCAAAUUUAAAAUCUGGGUGGCCUUGCCACUCCGAAUUGUAAUUUAAAGAGGCGUUUUCUGGGCCUAGCCCGGUGCUCAAGUCCCUUGGAAUAGGGCGUCACAGAGGGUGAGAACCCCGUCUGGGCACUGGUGUUGGGUCCUCUAUGAGGCGCUUUCUACGAGUCGAGUUGUUUGGGAAUGCAGCUCAAAAUGGGUGGUAAAUUUCAUCUAAGACUAAAUACUGGCAAGAGACCGAUAGCGAACAAGUACCGUGAGGGAAAGAUGAAAAGCACCUUGAAAAGGGAGUUAAAUAGUGCGUGAAAUUGUUAAAAGGGAAACGAUUGAGACCAGUAUUACCGCUGAUCGUUCAGCGUCUCGUUGGGCAACCUGCGUGGCGUGUAUUCGGUUGGUGGUGAGUCAGCGUCAGUUUGGGCUUCCGGAGAGAGGUCAGAGGAAGGUGGGGUCGGCCUUCGGGUCAACUCUUUAUAGACUCUGGCUGGCACGAGGAGCCUGGACUGAGGUGCGCGACUGUCGUACUCAUUGGGUGAGCCCGGUUCGUAAGGCCUUGGACUACAUGUAGACCCGGGCCCCAAGGGCAGGAGGUAAUCUGAUGCAGGCAGGUCAAGGAUGCUGACGAAAUGGUCUUAAACGACCCGUCUUGAAACACGGACCAAGGAGUCUAACACAUGUGCGAGUAUUUGGGUGGCAAACCCGAGUGCGUAAUGAAAGUGAUCUGGGUGAGAGCCUUGCCUCCGUGCUUGGUGCAUCAUCAGCCGAACCUUGAUGUCUUCUGAUAGGUUUGAGUAAGAGCAUAUUUGUUGGGACCCGAAAGGUAGUGAACUAUGCCUGGAUAGGAUGAAGCCAGAGGAAACUCUGGUGGAGGUCCGUAGCCGUUCUGACGUGCAAAUCGAUGGUCAAAUCUGGGUAUAGGGGCGAAAGACUAAUCGAACUACCUAGUAGCUGGUUCCCUC
rnacentral:misc_RNA from 1 species